rnacentral:lncRNA from 1 species
UUUGUUGUAAAAAACCUCCACCAUUUCUUCUCCUCUCCAACUCUCACCGCAGCCGCCGACGCCGCCGCCGCCGAACGCCGCCGAACGUGCUCGUAACUGCCGCGACAACCCAAUUAAACCCUAUCUUUUUCAUCUUCUUAAAUCCUCCAAAACAUCUCCAAAUUCAAAAAAUCAAAACCUCACAAAACGUAUAAAAUUGAGUUAUAAGACAAUAAUAUGGUAGUAUAUAUGAAUGGAGAACACAUUAAGGUAAGUAUUGAUGUCUUUUUUGAGCUUCGAAGUCGAUUUUGAAUUUUUUUUUUUUGAAACCCGCCGGCAAUUUUCGACACAUACAGGUCGAUUUUUUUGGUCAAUUUUCGACACCAACGUGUCGAAAAAAAAAAAUAAUAAUAAAAUAAUUUCGACACAUACCUGUCGAAAAUUCUCCAAAUUUCGACAGGCAUGUGUCGAAAAACACUAUUGGUAAAAAAAAAAAAAAAAAAAUUUCACACAAAACACUAUUGGUAAAAAAUACACUUACCUUCCUGAAUAUGACCCUUGGCCACAAGAUCCAUAAAUCCAUGGACAAAUACUGGAUACAACACGCGAAACAGUUUAGAUUUGCGCAAUUGGAAAUUUCGUACUCCAAAUUUCACACAAAAUUCCCAAGCUAGAUUUUUCACCAGCAUAAUUGCGAGCCCAUUUUGUUGCUCGCCCCUUUUCAGAAAAUCAAACUCCACUUCACAACAAGCUUAAACACUUCUUCUGUAAAACCUAAUUUUAUUUUUUUCAAUUGAAAACAGAAACUAACAAUAGAAGAUAGAUAUUCAAACUGCCGGCGGUGGGGAACGCGACGGCGAUAGAUGAAAGGUGGCGGGAGCGGCCGGAGCGGUAGAACGGAGGUGGGGUUGAUUUAAAAAUCUUUAUUAUUAUAUACAUAUAUGUAUGCAUAUGCAAUCUGCCUAAA